rnacentral:sRNA from 1 species
AGAAACUAAGUGUGAUGGAGAGCUCAAAAUCACACGCCGCAGAGCCAGUCAGAUCACACCCGCCAGCCUGCCCUGCAUCCAGCUCUGCGCUGCACAGACAGCCACGAGGGGACUGCAACAAGGACCACGAGCGUCUCCGAGGGGCUGUGAGAGACCUGAAGGAAGAGCGGACCGCGCUGCAGGAGCAGCUGCUGCAGAGAGGUUUGGAGGUGAAGCAGCUCCUGCAGGCGAAGGCCGACCUGGAGAAGGAGCUGGAGCGCGCGAGGGAGGGCGAGGAGGAGAGGAGAGAGCGAGAGGAGGUUUUGAGAGAGGAGAUUCAGACGCUUACCAGCAAGCUCCAAGAAUUGGAAGAAAUGAAGAAAGAAGAGAAAGAGGAUUGCCCGGAAGUUCCUCAUAAGGCCCAAGAGCUCCCAGCUCCCAGUCCCAGCAGCAGGCACUGCGAGCAAGACUGGCCACCGGAUUCCAGCGAGGAGGGGCUCCCGCGGCCCCGCUCCCCCUGCUCUGAUGGGAGAAGAGACGCCGCGGCCAGAGUCCUGCAGGCCCAGUGGAAGGUGUACAAGCACAAGGUGAGGCUCCCCGGGGCGACCCGGGCUGCUCCCUGUGAGUCUUCGUGCUCCAAGGCAAGCCACUCACUCUCCAGGAAUGACUGGGCCUGGAGGGCCAGCCAGGC